rnacentral:rRNA from 1 species
UACGAAGGGGGCUAGCGUUGCUCGGAAUCACUGGGCGUAAAGCGCACGUAGGCGGAUUGCUAAGUCAGGGGUGAAAUCCUGGAGCUCAACUCCAGAACUGCCUUUGAUACUGGCGAUCUUGAGUCCGGGAGAGGUGAGUGGAACUCCGAGUGUAGAGGUGAAAUUCGUAGAUAUCAGGAAGAACACCAACGGCGAAGGCAGCUCGCUGGGACGGUACUGACGCUGAGACGCGAAAGCGUGGGGAGCGAACAGG